rnacentral:lncRNA from 1 species
GUCUCGCUGUCGCCCAGGCUGGAGUGCAGUGGCGCAAUCUCGGCUCACUGCAGGCUCCGCCUCCUGGGGUUCACGCCAUUCUCCUGCCUCAGCCUCCCGAGUAGCUAGGACUACAGGCGCCCGCCACCUCGCCCGGCUAAUUUUUUGUAUUUUUAGUAGAGACGGGGUUUCACCGUGUUAGCCAGGAUGGUCUCGAUCUCCUGACCUCGUGA